rnacentral:sRNA from 1 species
GUUUUGCAUGAAGCGCCAUUGGAACCACCUAGCUAGCCUCCUAGUUGGGGGGAAAUAUGUUGGCGCCUAGUUGACGAUCUGGCCUGGCUGUGUGGGUUCCUGCAGGGUUCUCCUGCGAACAGAAGCCCUGGAGACAACUCCCCCGAAAUAAGUCGCCGAUAUUGGCGUUGGGUGGAGGAGAAAUGAACGAGUCCUUAUUUAAAAAUGCUCUUUCUUGCCAAGAAACGGUAUGGCAUUAUGACGGGUUGGUUAGUCGGGCACGUUAGCCUUGUUGAUGGAGCAUGUUGCCGCUGGUAAAGAAAGAUAGGGCUUUGUUUGGCUAUAAGAAGUCGAUGUGAUUUGAGAAUUGGGGUCAGGGAGCAUUACUAGUAAGA